UACGUAGGGUGCGAGCGUUGUCCGGAAUUAUUGGGCGUAAAGAGCUCGUAGGCGGUGUGUCACGUCGGCCGUGAAAACCUGCAGCUUAACUGUGGGCUUGCGGUCGAUACGGGCAUCACUGGAGUUCGGCAGGGGAGACUGGAAUUCCUGGUGUAGCGGUGAAAUGCGCAGAUAUCAGGAGGAACACCGGUGGCGAAGGCGGCCUGCUGGGCAGUUACUGACACUGAGGCGCGACAGCGUGGGGAGCAAACAGG
rnacentral:rRNA from 1 species